AGAGUUUGAUCCUGGCUCAGGACGAACGCUGGCGGCGUGCCUAACACAUGCAAGUCGAGCGAAUGAAAUUCCUUCGGGAACGGAUUUAGCGGAGGAGGGUUGAUUAAGACGUGGGGAACCUGCCUCAUAGAGGGGAAUACCCUUCCGAAGGGGACAUUAAUACCACAUAACAGUGUAUUACCGCGUGGUACAGCCAUUAAAGGAGCAAUACCUCUAUGAGAUGGGCCCCCGACGCAUUACCUAGUUGGUGAGGAAACGGCUCGCCAAGGCGACGAUGCCUAACCCAACUAACAGGGUGAUCGCCCACAUUGGGACUGAGACACUGGCCACACUCCUACGGGAGGCACUCCUGGGGAAUAUUGCACAAUGGGGGAAACCCUGAUGCACCAACGCCUCAUGAGUGAUGACCGCCUUCGGGUUGUAAAUCUCUGUCUUCAGGGGCGAUAAUGACGGUACCUGAGGAGGAAGCCACGGCUAACUACGUGCCAGCAGCCGCGGUAAUACGUAGGUGGCGAGCGUUGUCCGGAUUUACUGGGUGUAAAGGGAGCGUAGGCGGAUUUUUAAGUCAGAUGUGAAAUACUCGGGCUUAACCUGAGUGCUGCAUUUCAAACUGGAAGUCUAGAGUGCAGGAGAGGUGAUGGGAAUUCCUAGUGUAGCGGUGAAAUGCGUAGAGAUUAGGAAGAACACCAGUGGCGAAGGCGGUUCUCUGGACUGUAACUGACGCUGAGGCUCGAAAGCGUGGGGAGCAAACAGGAUUAGAUACCCUGGUAGUCCACGCCGUAAACGAUGGAUACUAGGUGUGGGGGGUGUCACGACCUCUGUGCCGCCGCUAACGCAUUAAGUAUCCCGCCUGGGGAGUACGGUCGCAAGAUUAAAACUCAAAGGAAUUGACGGGGGCCCGCACAAGCAGGGGAGCUAUGUGGUUUUAAUUCGAAGCAACGCGAAGAACCUUACCCAGACUUGACAUCUCCUGCAUUACUCUUAAUAGAGGAAGUCCCUCCGUGGACAGGAGGACAGACAGUGCAUGGUUGUUGUCAGUUAGCGUCGUUAGAUGUUGGGUUAAGUCCCGCAACGAGCGCAACCCUCCUUGUUAGUUGCCAUCAUUAAGUUGGCCAUUCUAGCGAGACUGCCCGGGUUAACCGGGAGGAAGGUGGGGAGGACGUCAAUUCUUCAUCCCCCUUAUGUCUAGGGCUCCACACGUGUUCCAAUGGUCGGUACAAUAAGACGCAAGCCCGCGAGGGGGAGCAAAUCCGGAAAACCGAUCUCAGUUCGGAUUGUAGGCUGAAACUCGCCUACAUGAAGUUGGAGUUGCUAGUAAUCGCGAAUCAGCAUGUCGCGGUGAAUACGUUCCCGGGCCUUGCACUCACCGCCCGUCA
rnacentral:rRNA from 1 species